UACGGAGGGUGCGAGCGUUGUCCGGAAUUAUUGGGCGUAAAGAGCUCGUAGGCGGCCUGUUGCGUCCGCUGUGAAAGCCCGGGGCUUAACCCCGGGUCGGCAGUGGAUACGGGCAGGCUAGAGGUAGGUAGGGGAGAAUGGAAUUCCCGGUGUAGCGGUGAAAUGCGCAGAUAUCGGGAGGAACACCGGUGGCGAAGGCGGUUCUCUGGGCCUUACCUGACGCUGAGGAGCGAAAGCGUGGGGAGCGAACAGG
rnacentral:rRNA from 1 species